AUCACAACAAAUUGAUCAACCUCUAUAGAUGAUAAGUGAUGAAUAAUAAAUAAUAAAUGAAGUUUGUAGACAUAAUGGACCGUAGGUUUCUCUUAAAUUUCAUAAAUUUUCUAAAUGUUUUAAUGUUGCAGAGGAGAUCAAAUUGUUUGAUUAAUAAGUUAAUGAUCAAAUAAGUGAUCUGUUACUGAAGGAGAAGCAUCAUGAAAUAAACAAACAAAUCUGAAAUGAAGGGAGUCACUAUCAUUGACAUCAUCAUCAUCAUAAUGCAGAGCAAGAGCAAUGUGAUUAUUCAUCA